CAUGCCAGACCGCACCGCGCGACCUUCGGCCCAACUACUUCUAGUGUCGCCCUCCGCCAGAACCCUCCGCCCGAGCCACCUCCAUCGGGCCUGCCCCACCUACCUCUUCCAUUGCAGCCCUCCAUCACGACUACCCUCCCUCCAUCGACCCCAACCUCCCCUACAACAAGGCCUUCCCUCCACUCCAUGGCGACCUUGCCUUUGCUCCACCGUGGCCUGCCCUCUGCUUUGGCGCAUCCUCCACCAUCGUCCUUCUCACUGGCAUCUGAUCUAGCCAACAACGCUUCCCUGACGGCAGUAGAGAGUUGGUGCAGGUGCACCACCUUCUUAUUCUAAUUAUUCUCUCUGAUUGUUGUAUUUGGACAACUGAUUGAUCGAAUAGGUUCGCAUGGUGGAUGUGAAUCUACACGAGGCGCUCAUGCAGCACAUCAACCCGGAACUACGGGGCUGCCUGGCUCUGUCCUAAAGCUACAUCAGCAAGCGCGGGCGCAGGAGAAGGCGACGCCGGGAACCCAGUUCGUGCCAUACUCUGAGUUCCCGGUCAUCGGCGUUGGCAACGGCCGCGUCGACAGCGUGUACCACAACACACAUGCACUCGUCGCGCCAGAGUCGUAAGAGGACCUCCACGCCUACGAGGGGCAUUGUCCCAGUGAGGAAAGGAUGAUGGAGACUAUGAUUCCCCACAAGUCAGGAAGAGACUCCGUACAAAAAAUAAAAAUGCGGGAGGCCAAAUGAGCCCACCACAAAAAAAGAAAAAAUGAAUGAGAGAAAAAGAGAGA